CAAAAUACAGUGAUCUGUUACAAGGUCUUCCCAAAAGCCAGAAAUUCCAGGGAUUUCUGAAGUCUACUUCUCUAGUCCUGGCUUAUCUGGGCUGUGGAGACUCUAUCUAGGUAAUUGUUGAGCUCCUAUUCUUACCUUGGUUCCUUCCUCAGUCCCACCAGAAGCCCUGCUCAUUUGGGAUGUGCGACUUGGCCCACGGAGGCUGCCAGCUCACCUUGGUACUUAACUACUAUUUGGUUUCUGUGACCACCAAGCUAUUGCUUAAACCAAGCCGCUUACGAUGGCACCACCUAGAAGAAUUCUUUAGAUUUUAUUCCGAGUGAGUUGAGAAGCCAUGGGAAGAUUGUAAGCAAAGGAAUAAAAGAUGGUUGCAUUCUCUUGGGAAGGUUUCCCUCUUCCCUGGAGACCAGUCCUCACAGAAGCUUUUCCAAUGGCCACAGACUAGGGAAGGUUGAGAGAGGGACGGGAGAACAAACUCCACUCACAGCUGCUGCUUCUCCUCUGCCCAGUUAGCCUCUACUGGGGCCAACAGUGAGCCUGUGUUGUCAUUCGUGGUCCCAGGCUGGCCGUCGCCAUGGAGAUGGUGUUGCUGUACCAGUUCGUGGCUAUUAAAAUGGAGCUCCUGGCUGGACACCUGUUUCCCAGUGGGUGGCCACACACCUGUGGGUCUGGGCCUCCUCCAGCUGAAUAGAAGUGAUAUGAGAGCUUGAGGGGGAGGUCAGAAGGUCAGAGAUGACCCAGUUCUGGAGGUGACCCCAUAGGAGGAGAAGAAUCCAGCCACGUGAUACACGGGACCAAGAGAACAGUAAAUGCAAAGAUCUGGAAGCACAAAAGAGGAACAGCAAGGACAGCAUGUUCCAGAACCUGCAAGGAACAUUUGAAAAGGAAAUUGGAAAAAGAAUUCCAUUUACCAUAGCAUUUAAGAGAGCUGAGGCUGUGGAGCCAGAUGGCUGCGUUCAGAGCUGGCGCUGCUAUUUACCAUGUGACCUUGGACAAGCUUCUCGCUUCAUUCAUACCACAGUUUGUUCAGCUAUUAGGUGGAGAGCUUGAAGAACAAUCUAACUGUGCUGGCAUGGGGCCCAUCCUACCUGCGAAGCCAAUGUAAGUCUGUGAAAGUCACUUAUAUUCAGAGCAUGUGGAUUGGGACUCUGAAGAACAACUUUAUGGUGGACACCUUCGUCUCCAUCUGGAACUGACUCAGCACAAGAAGACAGCUUCGACUCCCUAUGAUUUCAUCUCUGACCAAUCAGCACUCCUGGCACACUGGCUUCCCCCAACCCAUCAAGUUAUCCUUAAAAACUCCAUUCCCUGAUUGCUAGGGGAGACAGAUUUGAGUAAUAAUAAAACUCCGGUCUCCCCCACAGCUGGCUGUGCAUGAAUUACUCUUCUUCUAUUGCAAUUCCCCUGUCUUGAUGAAUCGGCUCUGUCUAGGCAGCAGGCAAGGUGAACCCUUUGAGCAGUUACAAUUCUAUUUAAUACCUCUGUCUCUGCCAGGCACGGUGACUCACGCCUGUAAUCCCAACACUUUGGGAGGCCGAGGUGGGUGGAUCACCUGAAGUCAGGAGUUCGAGACCAGCCUGGCCAACAUGGUGAAACCCUGUCUCUACUAAAAAUACAAAAUUAGCUGGGUGUGGCAGCGCAUGCCUGUAAUACCAGCUACUAGGGAGGCUGAGGCAGGAGAAUUGCUUGAACCCAGGAGAUGGAGGUUGCGGUGAGCAGAGAUAGUGCCACUGCACUCCAGCCAGGGUGACAGAGGGAGACUCUGUCUCAAAAAAAAAAAAAAAAAAGCUUCGUCUCAUAUAUGCUGAUUAGGCCUCAAAUCUGGAUCUCUUACCUCUUAGCUCAACAUCUUUCUUGACAAUCUUUCUUUUUAAAUAAAUGCUAUAGAAAUACUAAAAUGUAUUGUGAAUAAUGUAACACCCACAUACCACCAUCCAAUUUAACAAAUAAAGCAUUACUAAUCCAGUUUUGCUCCCUGCAAACUCAUCCUUCAUCUCAUUCUCUGACCUUUCCCUUUAUAAACACCCUGCAGUCGGGCACAGUGGCUGCACCUGCAGUCCCACCUAUUCGGGAGGCUGAGACUGGAGGAUCUCUUGAGCCCAGGAGUUUGUGGCUGUAGUGUGCUGUGACUGCACCUGUGAAAUAGCCACUGCGUUCCAGCCUCAGCAACACAGCAAGACUCCAUCUCUAAACGAAAUCCUGAAUUUGACAUUUGUCAUUCCCUUGUUUGUUUUUAUAUUUCUAAACACAUAUAUGUCUACAUAUGUAAAAAAUAUAAUUUUUACUUUUUUAUUGGGGUGAAAUUCAUAUAACACAAAACCACUGUAAACAUGAACAGUUCAGUGGCAUUUCAGAGAGGUGUGCAACCACCACAUCUAGUUCCAGAUCAUUUUCAUCACCCCAAAAGGACACCCCAUGCCUAUUAGUAGUCACUCGCCAUUUCUCCCUCCCUCUGUCCCCUGCAACUACCAAUCUACUCUCUGUCUCUAUGGAUUUACCUAUUCUGGGUAUUUCAUAUAAAUGGAGUCAAACAAUAUGUGUGGCCUUUUGUGACUAGCCUCUCUGAGGUAGCAGACAUAAUGUUUUCAAGGUUCAUCGAUGUAAUAGCAUGUAUGAGUACUCUGUUCCUUUUUUAUGGCUGAAUAAUAUCUCAUUGAAUGGAUAGACCACAUUUUGCCUAUCCAUUCAUCCAUAGAUGAACAUUUGGGUUAUGUGAAUAGUGCUGCUAUGCACAUUCACGAAUAGGUAGUUGUGAGUACAUGGUGUGGCUUUGGAUUUCUCUAAACUUUAUAUCACACUGCAGCUUGCUUUGUUUUUUCAAUGUUAGGUUAUUUCCAUGUUGAUAUGCACAGCUCUAGUUAAUUCAUUUUCACUGCUCCAAAGCAUCCCAUUUUUAAAAUUAUUUUAUUUUAUUAUUUUUUUUGAGACAGGUUCUUGGUCUGUCACCCAGGCUGGAGUGCAGGGGUGCAAUCACAGCUUACCAUAGCCUUGACCUCCUGGGCCCAAGCAAUCCUCCCACCUUGGCCUCCAUCUCUACAGGCUCGUGCCACCACACCCAGCUAAUUUUUGUAUUUUUCGUCAAGACAGGGUUUUGUCCUGUUGUCCAGGCUGGUCUCAAACUCCUGGGCUCAAGCAAUUCCCCUGCUUCAGCCUCCCAAAGUACUGGGAUUACAGGCAUGAGCCACCGCGCCUGGCCCAAAGCAUCCCAUUGUAUGAAUCCAACAAUUUAUCCAUUUAUUGUUUGAGAACAUUUAGGUUAUGUCUUGCUUUCCCUCUUACAAGCAAUGCUGCAGAAGCAUUCUUGCCCAUAACUCCGGCACAUGUACAAGAGUUUCUCUAGGGCACGUAUAUAAGAGUUUUAUUGCUGGGUCAUGAGGAAUGCUCUUCUUCAAAUGUACUUGCUAUUGACAAAUAUGAGCUGUCUUUUCAGGAGCCUCCCAGUGGUCCUCAGCCCUGGCUAUGCAUUAGAAUCAGCUGGGAACUUUUUUUUUUUUUUUCCCCCAAGCCAGAGUCUUGCUCUGUGGCCCAGAUUGGAGUGCAGUGGUGCAAUCUCGGCUCACUGCAACCUUUGCCUCCCAGGUUCAAGCAAUUCUCCUGCCUCAGCCUCCGGAGUAGCUGGGAUUAUAGGUGCA